rnacentral:lncRNA from 1 species
AGGAGAGACCCGCCGUUCUGCCCCCGAGGACAGGCACCGAGUCCCCGAGCCCUCUGGGAACUGCAGUCCUUCGAGCGGGACCCCCGACCGGGGGCGGUCGCCUCCAAGUGCGCAGAUGCGACUCCAGACGGAGCCUGAGCCUUUUGUCUCCCCGCGGCUUCGUGGGUCCGCGAGGCGGCUCUGUCCCUCCCGCCCGUCCCAGAGCGCAGCCCGGCGGGAUCCAGCCCUGUGGCCGGAGCCAGGUCCGCAGCGCGUCGCGGCCAUGACUCCUGCUGAUGCUUCUCUGCCCCAAAAGCAGAGCACAGAAGAAAUGGAAUCUACUGUUGAGCUCCUUCCUGUGGAGUUCCAGAUGAAGAAACUGAGGCUACAGUAACAUGCUCAGAAUCAUAAAUGGUUGAGCCCUGAUCAGAACCCAGGAACUGGUGACAGUGAAGGAUGAGGAAAUGGAUUUUGCCCAUGUGGAGGUGGACCAGCUGAAUUCUGCCCAGAGGAACAUGGGCCUGGAUCUGAAGGUGGAGAGUUGUGGAAGCCUGGUAUUUUGGGGUGACCUGCAUCCCAGAAUGUUUCCCUGCUCUCUGCUUGCCUUAUUCCUGAGUGCCCUGCCCAUCACCAACACCACGGAGCUAGAGAAUCCAAACAAAAAGAUGGGAACCCCAAGGUUGGAGCAACCAGGGGACGUGAUCAUUGGAGGCAUCUUUCCGAUUUACAUGACAGAGCCUUCAUCGCCAUUGAAUUUCACCUCUGGACCCAUUAAAGAGAAUUCUGAGGAAAGGCUUCCGUCACUACAACUGGAAAGGAGCAAGGAGCUACCUAGUCCAGCAGGGCAGAAGAUGAGAGCAUUGGCAGGGAGUCUGCUCUACACAGAAACAGAAUUUCAGAAUGAGGAAGAAAGGGGCCUGUGAUUUGGAUUCUUAGUGAACAGCUUUGGACAUUACUAAGCCGUUCCACCCCACCCACUCCCUAUGUCCACAUGCUACCCAGACUGCCAACCGUCAUGAACAGAGAAAUACUAACAUCCUAGAGGGAGGUAGACCCACAUUAGAAAGGUGAUCAGAGAAAAGAGGGAACCAGUGAUAUUGAUAUUGGAGGAUACCAGGGGAGAAAGAAGAAUCAGAGAAAUAUUUACCAUUCUUCCCCUUGCCUCCAAUGAGACCUCUCUUUAAGCCCCCGACAAAUCAUAGUGUCUCUUUUCAUGCAUAAUGUCUGUAACACAGAAUUUUUGAGAUGCAAAGAUCCAAGGAGAUUAUCAAGUCAAAGCAUUUUAAAAGUUGUAGAAGGAACUAGAAUAGAUCUGGGAAAAACAUCCCUUCAUGCUACUAAGUCAGAUUCCCUUUCUAUAUCUCCCAUAGCAUGCUCUGAUCUAUCCCUUUUCAAAUAUCGCUGUGUUUAUUGUGUUGGAAAUAAGAC